GUUUGCUGCUCCGGAUUCUUGGCUCAGAAGUCUCUGACGUUGCCAUGUGAGAUCUAUGCUGCACAUACUCUGGGGUCCGGGCCAGCUACUGGAAGGUGGAGGCCCCAUUUCUCCGCUAGCAUGCCUACUUCAUGAUUAUAUCAAAAUGUUGGACCUGGGAUAGAUCCUCUGAGAUAUUGAUGCCCAGGAACUUGAAGCUGCUCAUCCUAUCCACCACUGACACCCUAAGUACAGCUGCUAACAUGUAUGAAGAAGAAAUGUCUCUCGCCUCAUUGGGGACAUCCCUCUUUGUGUUACUCCCACUGGGAGGAGGUGCAGAAAUCUGAAGAUCUACACUGUGCUUUAAGAACAGCUUCUUCCUUUCUGCUAUCAGAUACCUGAACUGUCCAUAAACCCAAAAAAGUUCUAAAAAGUUCAAAAGUGAAUUUAUUAUCAAGAUACCGUCCAGCAAUGUGAGGGAAUCGUUCCUUCAUCCAGCAAAAAGAGAAGCACAUCUUUAUUCCUUAAAGAUAAAGCGAACGCAUUUCAGCUUCUCAAAAAUCUCCAGACAGCUCCAGCAGCACUUGCACAGCGGUCUCACAAGACAUUGUCGGAGGAGCAUUUGGAAUGAGGGAGGCCAUUCGUGACAUUGGAUGUUUUUCCACAGUUAGCCUAGCACAUCACGGAAAUUAGUCUCCCCUCCACGUUCUCUGUCUGCACUUCUCACGUAAAGCAGCCCAAGUAAUCAAACACCCCACCCACCCAGGGCGUUUUCUCUUCUUCACCCUCCCAUUGCGCAGAAGGUACAAAAGCUGGCUCAAGAAUAGCUUCUACCCUGCUGUUAUAAGGCUAUGAAAUGGUCCCCUGGACCUGGAGUAUAUGAGGUGACCAGGGAGGGUUAGCACCUCCGGUGAAGGGGCUUUUCAUGUCCAUUCUGGGGCAGCUCACUCACUUGUGUCCCCAGUGGACUCUCAGCUCUCAUCUGUGGUUCCAAGUAGCCUUUUGCAUGCGACAGCAGCCAUACACCAGUACACCAC